rnacentral:rRNA from 1 species
AUUGAACGCUGGCGGCAGGCCUAACACAUGCAAGUCGAGCGGAUGAAGGGAGCUUGCUCCUGGAUUCAGCGGCGGACGGGUGAGUAAUGCCUAGGAAUCUGCCUGGUAGUGGGGGAUAACGUCCGGAAACGGGCGCUAAUACCGCAUACGUCCUGAGGUAGAAAGUGGGGGAUCUUCGGACCUCACGCUAUCAGAUGAGCCUAGGUCGGAUUAGCUAGUUGGUGGGGUAAAGCCCUACCAAGGCGACGUUCCGUAACUGGUCUGAGAGGAUGAUCAGUCACACUGGACCUGAGACACGGUCAAGACUCCUAAGGGAGGCAGCAGUGGGGAAUAUCCGACAAUGGCCGAAAGCCUGAUCCAGCAAGGCCGCGUGUGUGAAGAAGGUCUUCGGAUGGUAAAGCCCUUUAAGUUGGGAGGAAGGGCAGUAAGUUAAUACCUUGCUGUUUUGACGUUACCAAUAGAAUAAGCACCGGCUAAUUUCGU